rnacentral:lncRNA from 1 species
AUUAGAAUUUAUUGCAUAAUAAUUAGUCAUACUUUCAUAAAAAUUAAUUUCGAACUCAAACCCUCUCCAUUAUAUUUGUUAGAAUAAACAUAAUCAACAAACUAUUUUGUUCUGGAGAAAAAAUGAAGCUGAUGUCUGUAUUUGUUGACAUUUUACAACAUCGCCAACUUAGAGUCAAUAAAAACGUGCUCAAGAGAAAGUUGAGGGGAGCAGAUCUUAUAAGACCUUUAAAAAAAAUGAAGUGAGAGUAUUUUCUUUUUCAGUAUUUACCUAGUCAUCCAUACGUCCCUUCGUUCUUGUUUUUCUCUAUUCAUGUUUGUCCCUUGAACUCCUUAUCUCGCUAAUCCUUUCCUCUGAAUGCUCUUAUUUUAUCUCUUGCUCCACUGUUUUCCUCUAGGUCAUCUGUGUCUCUCUGCUCGCCAGGUCAGGUUCCCCAGGCUUGUCUUGGCCCCCUGACCCCUCCUUCCUCUCCCAGAGCUGUGUUUCCCCUGCUUCUCAUUUGCCGCCCAGCAACCUGAACAGAACAAUACUGGAAGUGGAACUGGCACUGACAAAAAGGAGAGCAACUGGAAAGAAAACUUUACUCAUCAAGACAGAGCAACUGAGAGCCUGUAUGUACCAUUUGAAGCCUGAUGAUCUUCCAAUUCUAAGGGGUAAGGUCUAUGUAUACUGUUACUGACACACCACAACCCUAAAGUCAUCUUGAUCUUCUUACUGAUCUUUGAUUCCUUAUUAUAGUCACUAAACCCAAGUCUUUUCCUUAGUCACAUUUAUGUCUAUCAUUGAUUUUUAAAUUCCACUUGCUACUUCAGAAUCUAACAAAUGGUCUCCUGUUUCAUUUUCACUCCUCUCCCUCUGCCAAAUUCAAAAUGAUAUUCCAUUAGAUCAAACCUAAAUUAUUCAGGCUCAAAUUCAGGUCCUCUAUCAAUGAUUCUACCCUAUCAUUUCACCUUUGUUUUCUAUUGUUUCUAAAAUGAAGCUCUUCUUUUGAUUCAUCUGAUCUCCUAACUUUUCCCCAUUGUUAUCGUGCUUAUUUUUCCCCAUUGCCUUUGUUCAAGCAAUUUCCUUUACCUUUUUCCUAUAAACCAAAUCCAGAUUUUACAUUUUCCUUUGUUGUCUUUUAAGAAGGCUUCCCU